GUCUGCCAAUUGAUAUUUUAUCGUAUGUUUUUCUUUGUUGUGAUGUUAUGCUAUUGUUUCAGAAAAAGGGAGAAGGUUUGGAUCCAUUAAAACGUUUAAUCCCGCUGCAAAUGUUUGCACCUGUCCUAAGUCAGGAAUCUGAUGUACAGUAGUUGUCGUUUGUUUAUGUUAUAUAUACGUGUUUCUCGUUUCUCGUUUUGUUUAUAUAGAUUAGACCGUUGGUUUUCCCGUUUGAAUUGUUUUACACUAG
rnacentral:lncRNA from 1 species